GCUCGAGAUUUAUUCCCGAACAUGCACUAAAAUUCGAACAAUAUAGAGAAGAUUAGCAUGUCUUCUGAGCAAAGGAUGACAUGCAAAUUUGUGAAGAGUUCCAAAAAUUU
rnacentral:snRNA from 1 species